CCUACGGGAGACAGCAGUGGGGGAUAUUGCACAAUGGGGGGAACCCUGAUGCAGCGACGCCGCGUGGGUGAAGGAGUGCUUCGGCAUGUAAAGCCCUAUCGUCAGGGAAGAAGCAAGACGGUACCUGACUAAGAAGCCCCGGCUAACUACGGGCCAGCAGCCGCGGUAAUACGUAGGGGGCGAGCGUUAUCCGGAUUCACGGGGUGUAAAGGGAGCGUAGACGGCCAUGGAAGCCAGGGGUGAAAGCCCGGGGCGCAACCCCGGGAGUGCCCUUGGAAAUGGAUGGAUGGAGUGCGGGAGGGGUCGGCGGAACUCCAGGUGGAGCGGUGGAAUGCGUAGAUAUAAGGAAGAACACCGGUGGCGAAGGCGGCCUGCUGGUCUGCGACUGACGCUGAGGCUCGAAAGCGUGGGGAGCGAACAGGAUUAGAUACCCGAGUAGUC
rnacentral:rRNA from 1 species